rnacentral:rRNA from 1 species
CAUGCCGCGCUGAAUGAAGAAGGCCUUCGGGUUGUAAAGCUCUUUCGGCCGGGAAGAAAUCGUGGUCUCUAACAUAGGCCAUGGAUGACGGUACCGGACUAAGAAGCACCGGCUAACUACGUGCCAGCAGCCGCGGUAAUACGUAGGGUGGCGAGGCGUU